UCUGACGGAGGUGGCUGCUGCAACUACACGUUAAAGGCUCCGGGUAGCCCAGACUCCAGGACUCAUCCAAGGCCUAGCGGGACAGUACCCACCCUGUCUGCCUGCCAUUUUGUCAGUGAUGAGGCGACUUCCUCCACCUAGGAAGCUCAGACUACUAUUGUUCCAGAACUGGAGAUGCCCAGCUUACCUGCUAUUUCAAGCUUCAAUGGCCUCUGCUAAGUAAAAAGUCUUCCUAGAGAUUUAUUUAUUUGAGUACACUGCAGCUGUCUUCAUACACACCAGAAGAGGGCAUGGGAUCCUGUUAAAGAUGGUUGUGAGCCACCACGUGGUUGCUGGGGAAUUGAACUCAGAACCUCUGGAAGAGCAGUCAGUGCUCUUAACUGCUGAGCCAUCUCUCCCAUCCUGCCUCUGUCUCCUGAGUACUUGGAUUAAAGAUCUCCCUGCCAGCUCCCCAGCAUGGCACUGCAGUGUCUCAUGCUCCUGACUGGCCUUGUGGUGGGAGGCAUGAGCAAAUCCACAGAAAGCAAGGGUUUCUCUGUCCAGAAACUUGCUCUGUAGACCAGGCUAGCCUCAAACUCAGAGAUCUGGAGUAUUGGGAUUUAAAGACAUGCCAGCACCUGACUGGAACCUUGUCUU
rnacentral:lncRNA from 1 species